AGCGAACGCUGGCGGCAGGCUUAACACAUGCAAGUCGAGCGGGCAUAGCAAUAUGUCAGCGGCAGACGGGUGAGUAACGCGUGGGAACGUACCUUUUGGUUCGGAACAACUGAGGGAAACUUCAGCUAAUACCGGAUAAGCCCUUACGGGGAAAGAUUUAUCGCCGAAAGAUCGGCCCGCGUCUGAUUAGCUAGUUGGUGAGGUAAUGGCUCACCAAGGCGACGAUCAGUAGCUGGUCUGAGAGGAUGAUCAGCCACAUGGGGACUGAGACACGGCCCAAACUCCUACGGGAGGCAGCAGUGGGGAAUAUUGGACAAUGGGCGCAAGCCUGAUCCAGCCAUGCCGCGUGAGUGAUGAAGGACCUAGGGUUGUAAAGCUCUUUUGUGCGGGAAGAUAAUGACGGUACCGCAAGAAUAAGCCCCGGCUAACUUCGUGCCAGCAGCCGCAGUAAUAC
rnacentral:rRNA from 1 species